AUGAGGCGGCGCUCCGUGCUGCCGUCCCACCACGACGACGCGGAGAAGGGCGGCGGGAAGCCGCCGCAGUCGCGCCUCUGCUUCCUCGCUACGCUCUGCGUCAUGUUCUGGGUCCUCAUCUUCUACUUCCACUUCUCCGUCCUCGCACCCGACCCCGACGCGCGGCCCGUCGCCGUCGCCACCCAGGCCCGCAUUGCCCACGACCACCUCCCGGACCGCGUCUUCAACCACGACGGCCUUCUCCGCACCCCGCCCGCCGCCGUCGGCAAGGAGGAGGCGCCUGCGGCCGUCGUCGGCAAGGAGGAGGCGCCCGCGGCCGUCGUCGGCAAGGAGGAGGCGUCCGCGGCCGUCGCCGAGAAGGAGGAGGCGCCCACCGCCGUCGUCGGCAAGGAGGAGGCGCCUGUGGCUGUCGUCGGCAAGGAGGAGGCGCCCGCGGCCGUCGCCGGCAAGGAGGAGGCUCCCGCGGCCGUCGCCGAGGAGGAGGAGGCGCCCGCGGCCGUCGCCGAGAAGGAGGAGGUGCCCCCGAAGGAGUACCCGUUCCAGCGGGCGCUCAAGACGGCGGAGAACGCGAGCGACCCGUGCGGCGGCCGGUACAUCUACGUGCACGAGCUGCCGCCGCGCUUCAACGAGGACAUGCUCCGGGAGUGCCACAGCAUCAGCGUCUGGACCAACAUGUGCAAGUUCAUGAGCAACGACGGUCUCGGCCCGCCGCUGAGCAACGAGGACGGUGUUUUCUCCAACACCGGCUGGUAUGCCACCAACCAGUUCGCCGUCGAUGUCAUCUUUGGCAACCGGAUGAAGCAGUACGAGUGCCUCACCAAGGACUCGUCCAUCGCCGCGGCGGUGUUCGUGCCCUUCUAUGCCGGGUUCGAUGUCUCGAGGUAUCUCUGGGGGUAUAACAUUUCGAUGAGGGACGCCGCGCCACAUGAUCUGGUGGAUUGGUUGAGGAAGAGGCCCGAGUGGAAUGUGAUGGGUGGGCGUGACCAUUUCUUGGUUGGGGGAAGGAUUGCGUGGGAUUUCAGGCGGUUGACGGACGAAGAAUCUGACUGGGGCAACAAACUGCUGUUCAUGCCGGCUGCGAAGAAUAUGUCAAUGCUGGUGGUGGAGUCAAGCCCAUGGAAUGCCAAUGAUUUUGCGGUACCAUAUCCGACUUACUUUCACCCUGCCAAAGAUGAGGAUGUUUUCCUUUGGCAAGAUAGAAUGAGGAGCCUGGAUAGGCCAUGGCUGUUCUCAUUCGCAGGGGCUCCUCGUCCUGGUGAUCCAAUGUCUAUCAGAGGGCAGCUCAUCGAUCAGUGCAGGACAUCAAGUUUCUGUAAAUUGUUGGAGUGUGACCUUGGAGAGAGCAAGUGCCACUCCCCAAGCGCAAUCAUGAAGAUGUUCCAGAGCUCUUUAUUCUGCUUGCAGCCCCAGGGUGAUUCCUAUACUAGAAGAUCUGCCUUCGACUCAAUGUUGGCUGGCUGCAUACCUGUUUUCUUCCAUCCUGGUUCAGCAUAUGUCCAGUAUACAUGGCAUCUUCCGAAGAAUUAUACGAGUUACUCCGUCUUCAUCCCUGAAGGUGGCGUCCGUGAUGGAAAUGUCAGUGUUGAGGAGAUACUAAGAGGUAUCCAUCCAGACAUCGUCAAGCAGAUGAGGGAAGAGGUUAUCAAUCUCAUACCAAAGGUGAUAUAUGCUGAUCCAAGGUCGAAACUGGAAACGCUGAAGGACGCGUUUGAUGUUUCGGUUUCGGCAAUCAUCAACAAAGUGACACAAUUGAGAAGAGAUAUCAUCUCAGACAGUGAAGAUAAAGAUUUUAUUGAAGAGAAUAGCUGGAAAUAUGAACUGUUAGAAGGACAGCGGACAAUUGGACCUCAUGAGUGGGAUCCAUUCUUCUCGAAGCCCAAGCCCAAGGACAAGGGUGCAGAUUCUGGUAAUUCAUCAGCUGAAGCGGCCAAGAAUUCUUGGAAAAUCGAACGAGGAGACCAGAAUUAG
rnacentral:rRNA from 1 species